rnacentral:rRNA from 1 species
AUUGAACGCUGGCGGCAGGCCUAACACAUGCAAGUCGAGCGAGCGGCGGACGGGUGCGUAAUGUAUGGGAAAUGCCCGAUAGAGAGGGAUAACUACUGGAAACGGUAGAUAAUACCGCAUACUAUCGGAUAACCCAUAUGGGAGUAGCUAGUAGGGGAGGUAAUGGCUCACCUAGGCGACGAUCCCUAGAUGGUCUGAGAGGAUGAUCAGCCACACUGGAACUGAGACACGGCCCAGACUCCUACGGAGGCAGCAGUGGGGAAUAUUUGACAAUGGGCGCAAGCCUGAUGCAGCCAUGCCGCGUGUAUGAAGAAGGCCCUAGGGUUGUAAAGUACUUUCAUUCGGGAGGCGUUACCGACAGAAGAAGCACCGGCUAACUCCGUGCCAGCAGCCGCGGUAAUUC